AGACUAUAACUGCAUUGGUUACAGAUGAGGGGAUCAGUAUCAACAAUCCAGCUGACAUUAGAAAGGAGAUCAAGGAGUUUUUCAAAUCACUUAUGGGAACUUCUUCUACAUCACUGCCAGCAAUAAACAAGAUGUAUAUGACAAAUGGACCAAGGCUCACUCUCAACCGAAAAAAGGUUUAGUUGCUGAUGUAAUGGAC
rnacentral:lncRNA from 1 species